rnacentral:tRNA from 1 species
AUUUUAAUAAUUAAAUGUUGUUUUUUAUAAUAAGAAUAUGUAAUAAGAUAUUUAGAAUUUUUAAUAAUUUUGAAAUAUUAGAAUAUACAUUAUCUUUUAUAUUAUAUUAAAUAUAAAUAAUAUAUUUGAAAAUUUGAGGAACUUUUAUAAGUAUUUUAUUAUAAUUCUAUUUUUAGUAUAAUUUUUAUUAUAAAUAUUAAUAUUAAAAAAAAGAUAGUUUUAAGUUUAAAUUAAAAAUUAUUUAAAAUA